rnacentral:rRNA from 1 species
AUUGAACGCUGGCGGCAGGCCUAACACAUGCAAGUCGAGCGGAUGAAGGGAGCUUGCUCCUGGAUUCAGCGGCGGACGGGUGAGUAAUGCCUAGGAAUCUGCCUGGUAGUGGGGGAUAACGUCCGGAAACGGGCGCUAAUACCGCAUACGUCCUGAGGGAGAAAGUGGGGGAUCUUCGGACCUCACGCUAUCAGAUGAGCCUAGGUCGGAUUAGCUAGUUGGUGGGGUAAAGGCCUACCAAGGCGACGAUCCGUAACUGGUCUGAGAGGAUGAUCAGUCACACUGGAACUGAGACACGGUCCAGACUCCUACGGGAGGCAGCAGUAGGGAAUCUUCGGCAAUGGGCGAAAGCCUGACGCAGCCACGCCGCGUGUGUGAAGAAGGUCUUCGGAUUGUAAAACCCUUUUAGUUGGGAAGAACGGAAGUGAAAUUAAAACUUGCCGUUUUGACGGUACCAAACAAAAAAGCACCGGCUAACUUCGUG